UACGUAGGGGGCAAGCGUUAUCCGGAAUCACUGGGCGUAAAGGGUGCGUAGGCGGCCCAGCAAGUCAGAGGUGAAAGGCAUUGGCUCAACCAAUGUAAGCCUUUGAAACUGUUGGGCUUGAGUGCAGGAGAGGUAAGUGGAAUUCCUAGUGUAGAGGUGAAAUUCGUAGAUAUUAGGAGGAACACCAGUGGCGAAGGCGACUUACUGGACUGUAACUGACGCUGAGGCACGAAAGCGUGGGGAGCGAACAGG
rnacentral:rRNA from 1 species